rnacentral:rRNA from 1 species
AACGGGUAAGGAACCUGCCUUUUAGAGGGGAAUAACAAUGAGAAAUCAUUGCUAAUACCGCAUAUGCCGAGAGAAUCACAUGGUACAAUCGGGAAAAGAGUAAUCUGCUAGAAGAUGGCCUUGCGUCUGAUUAGAUAGUUGGUGGGGUAACGGCCUACCAAGUCGACGAUCAGUAGCCGGACUGAGAGGUUGAACGGCCACAUUGGGACUGAGAUACGGCCCAGACUCCUACGGGAGGCAGCAGUCGGGAAUAUUGCGCAAUGGAGGAAACUCUGACGCAGUGACGCCGCGUAUAGGAAGAAGGUUUUCGGAUUGUAAACUAUUGUCGUUAGGGAAGAGAAAGGACAGUACCUAAGGAGGAAGCUCCGGCUAACUACGUGCCAGCAGCCGCGGUAAUACGUAGGGAGCGAGCGUUAUCCGGAAUUAUUGGGUGUAAAGGGUGCGUAGACGGGAAGAUAAGUUAGUUGUGAAAUCCCUCGGCUUAACUGAGGAACUGCAACUAAAACUGUUUUUCUUGAGUGCAGGAGAGGUAAGUGGAAUUCCUAGUGUAGCGGUGAAAUGCGUAGAUAUUAGGAGGAACACCAGUGGCGAAGGCGACUUACUGGACUGUAACUGACGUUGAGGCACGAAAGUGUGGGGAGCAAACAGGAUUAGAUACCCUGGUAGUCCACACCGUAAACGAUGGAUACUAGGUGUAGGAGAUAUUAAGUCUUCUGUGCCGUCGCAAACGCAGUAAGUAUCCCACCUGGGGAGUA